rnacentral:rRNA from 2 species
AGAUGGGAGCUUGCUCCCUGAUGUUAGCGGCGGACGGGUGAGUAACACGUGGGUAACCUGCCUGUAAGACUGGGAUAACUCCGGGAAACCGGGGCUAAUACCGGAUGGUUGUUUGAACCGCAUGGUUCAAACAUAAAAGGUGGCUUCGGCUACCACUUACAGAUGGACCCGCGGCGCAUUAGCUAGUUGGUGAGGUAACGGCUCACCAAGGCGACGAUGCGUAGCCGACCUGAGAGGGUGAACGGCCACACUGGGACUGAGACACGGCCCAGACUCCUACGGGAGGCAGCAGUAGGGAAUCUUCCGCAAUGGACGAAAGUCUGACGGAGCAACGCCGCGUGAGUGAUGAAGGUUUUCGGAUCGUAAAGCUCUGUUGUUAGGGAAGAACAAGUACCGUUCGAAUAGGGCGGUACCUUGACGGUACCUAACCAGAAAGCCACGGCUAACUACGUGCCAGCA